CUGAGAUUAGUGGGAAACUGUUAGCCUAGCUUAGCAUUAAUAAUGAGAGCAGAGGGAAACUGUUAGCCGAGCUUAACAUUAAUAAUGAGAGCAAAGGGAAACAGUUCACCUAGUGUAAAUGCCUUAGCCACUUGUACAUGUUUAUAAUUUUAUAUUUUUCUAUCGCUAAACUGGUCAGUGAUUGCUUAGUAAUACGUCAUAGAGAAUUUACAGUUAAAGCUUUAUUUUGAAAGGACGUCCACUAGGUGUUGUAAAGCAGGAGUAAUUCCAGUAAAGCAGAAAGCAGCGCGAAAGGUCCGAUGAGCAGAAAAAGGUGCUCCAUGGAAAAUAAUUGAGACAAAACAGUUUUAAGGUGUUCUCAAAGCUGCUGACGAUCACUCUAGCACCUGGUUGAUAAGGAGAACAAGGUUUGUAUUGGAAACUGUGAUUUACAUGUGUUUUGAUAUAGUUAUGAAGUGUAUUAGUUGCUAAUCUGCUAGCUAAAAGCAACAUGGUCUAUCUCCUGGUACAAGGUAAAAUGGGAUACAGCUAAAAGGUUUAUAUAAAUACAUAAAUUCAUGGUAAAUAGCACUCUAAUAGAGAUUGUCAAGGUAUAAUGGUCAAGGAUUAAAAAGCAAUUCAUAUGGUAAUAAAUAUGGCUAAAAAGGGCUAUAAAUAUAUGGCAUAAAGGGUGUAAGAGUUGCUAAUUGUAUUCCUAUUUGUCUGCAUUGUAGCUCUUAUGGUGGAUAUGGUCAAGGCAAGGCAAUAAAACACUUUUCAACCACCA